AUUGAACGCUGGCGGCAUGCUUUACACAUGCCAGUCGAACGGCAACGAGGAGAAGCUUGCUUCUCUGUCGGCGAGUGGCGAACGGGUGAGUAUAGCAUCGGAACGUGCCAAGUAGUGGGGGAUAACCAAACGAAAGUUUGGCUAAUACCGCGUAAGCUCCAAGGAGGAAAGUAGGGGACCUAAAUAAGGCCUUACGCUAUUUGAUCGGCCGAUGUCGGAUUAGCUAGUUGGUGGGGUAAUGGCUCACCAAGGCAAUGAUCCGUAGCGGGUCUGAGAGGACGAUCCGCCACACUGGGACUGAGACACGGCCCAGACUCCUACGGGAGGCAGCAGUGGGGAAUUUUGGACAAUGGGGGAAACCCUGAUCCAGCCAUGCCGCGUGUAUGAAGAAGGCCUUAGGGUUGUAAAGUACUUUUGUUAGGGAAGAAAAGCUAGUUUUUAAUAAAAAUUAGUGAUGACGGUACCUAAAGAAUAAGCACCGGCUAACUACGUG
rnacentral:rRNA from 1 species